UGCAAGAAAUAAAGAAUAUAAAAAGGUAAAGGCCUAUUUGAUAUUGUUUUUGUUUUUAAAAAACCAGCAAGAACAAUUUGACUAUAUUGAAUGUAUUUUAUUUCAAAUUAUUUGUAAAAUUUUUACAGCUUUUGGUACUAAAGAUUUAUUGGUUUCAGAUUUUGCAAAUCCUAUCCUCAGUGCCGAUCUCCAUGUAGUAUUCUACUAAUUUGUAGGGGAAACAAUAACCCAAAAAACAAUGACGAUAGCAAACAAGCCCUAAAUUUAAGCCAUCUAAUUCAUAACAUUUCAUAGAUUUGCCCAUCCUACCAAAAUGAUCGACAAAGAACACUCUAUUUUCUCCCUCUGUUCUACUCCAAACAUCAACAUAGGAAUACCAUACUACACAUAAGAUUAUUCGAUUUUAAGAGUUCUUCAUCCAUUUAUAUAUAUCUUUUACUAAAAAAGAUAUAGCCUAAAACUAUAGUUGCCACUCUGUUCUUCUUACAGAAACUGGAACCGUCACUCAAUAAGCGAUCUCUCUCCAAAUGAAUGAAUCAUAUUACUGCUGGAAUUUGAUCCACUCUGCUGCCUCAAAUCCUAUAUAGACGAGCAGAUAUCUUAUUCUUUUUUCUUCUCAAGAUUAGAGAUCAAUGAAAUCUAGAUCAUACGCCCAUAACCCAACACAUAAAUGUCCAAUCAACUAGUAUAAGUUUUUCACAGCAAAUCGAUCCCUAGACUCAACGCCCUUCAGGAUCAACGAAAACACACUACUGAAAAUCUCUAAGACCAACCAAAAAAAAAAAUUAGAACUCGAAUGCAACAAGAGAAACCAA
rnacentral:lncRNA from 1 species